CCUACGGGAGGCAGCAGUGGGGAAUAUUGCACAAUGGGGGAAACCCUGAUGCAGCGACGCCGCGUGAGUGAAGAAGUAUCUCGGUACGUAAAGCUCUAUCAGCAGGGAAGAAACUGACGGUACCUUACUAAGAAGCCCCGGCUAACUAAGGGCCAGCAGCCGCGGUAAAACGUAGGGGGCCAGCGUUAACCGGAUUUAAUGGGUGUAAAGGGAGCGUAUACGGCAGAACAAGCCUGGAGUGAAAUCCCGGGGCUUAACCCCCGAACUGCUUUUGAAACUGUGCGGCUGGAGUGCAGGAGGGGUAAGUGGAAUUCCUGGUGUAGCGGUGAAAUGCGUAGAUAUUAGGAGGAACACCGGUGGCGAAGGCGGCUUACUGGACUGUAACUGACGUUGAGGCUCGAAAGCGUGGGGAGCAAACAGGAUUAGAUACCCUUGUAGUC
rnacentral:rRNA from 1 species